CGGGAAUACCGGGGCUAAUACCGGUGGUUGUUUGAACCGCAUGGUUCAAACAUAAAAGGUGGCUUCGGCUACCACUUACAGAUGGACCCGCGGCGCAUUAGCUAGUUGGUGAGGUAACGGCUCACCAAGGCAACGAUGCGUAGCCGACCUGAGAGGGUGAUCGGCCACACUGGGACUGAGACACGGCCCAGACUCCUACGGGAGGCAGCAGUAGGGAAUCUUCCGCAAUGGACGAAAGUCUGACGGAGCAACGCCGCGUGAGUGAUGAAGGUUUUCGGAUCGUAAAGCUCUGUUGUUAGGGAUAGAACAAGUACCGUUCGAAUAGGGCGGUACCUUGACGGUACCUAACCAGAAAGCCACGGCUAACUACGUGCCAGCAG
rnacentral:rRNA from 1 species